CUGUAAGCCGUUGAAGGUGUCCUGUGAGGGGUGCUGGAGGUAUCAGAAGUGCGAAUGCUGACAUAAGUAACGAUAAAGCGGGUGAAAAGCCCGCUCGCCGGAAGACCAAGGGUUCCUGUCCAACGUUAAUCGGGGCAGGGUGAGUCGACCCCUAAGGCGAGGCCGAAAGGCGUAGUCGAUGGGAAACAGGUUAAUAUUCCUGUACUUGGUGUUACUGCGAAGGGGGGACGGAGAAGGCUAUGUCAGCCGGGCGACGGUUGUCCCGGUUUAAGCAUGUAGGCGGAGGUUCCAGGUAAAUCCGGUACCUUAUUAACGCUGAGGUGUGAUGACGAGGCACUACGGUGCUGAAGUGAUAAAUGCCCUGCUUCCAGGAAAAGCCUCUAAGCAUCAGGUAACACGAAAUCGUACCCCAAACCGACACAGGUGGUCAGGUAGAGAAUACCAAGGCGCUUGAGAGAACUCGGGUGAAGGAACUAGGCAAAAUGGUGCCGUAAC
rnacentral:rRNA from 1 species